AAAAUUUAUUCUAAACUUCAUAAUAAAUAGUUAAAUAUUCAAGUAAGAAUUUUGGUUUUGAGAGCAUGGUCAGAUAAAUUCUAUAACAACCAAACGGUAUUUUUUUUCACUCGACAAAGAAGCCGCAUUAUACUAUUCGAUACGAAGAGAUAUUGAAUCAUUUGCCAUCACUCUACUCUUUUAGUCGAACCGUUUCACUCCAUAAAUUGCACAAUAAAACUAACUUUUAAUGAUGUGCUAAAGAUAUGUCCACAUGAUGAAUAUUCGAGAAUCACUAGAGUUAGAGUUUAAUCGAGAAGUAAUACUUAAAAAAUAGUAUUUCGAUGUAUGGUAGUUUAGCAAACAAAUUUCUCGUUGAUUUGGUGUCCCAACCUUCGAAUACGGCGUUUAUUUAAGAAAACCGAUCAUAAUCACUUAAUUUGCAUGCAGGUCACGUGCUCUACCAUAUAACUUCCUCUCCAUUCUGCGACAUAUAUGCGAUACGUACAGGCCACUGUGUUUUCUUCCUCGUAUUUUUUUCUACACAAUACGUGUUUUCAUUUUUUAAAUGUUUCUCAUCUGAUUUAUUUCUCCUACCUGUCGCGUACUCGUUUAAAACAUAUUCACGCGUAAAAAAAAGCUUCACAAUACAUCACUAACAAAAUAUUGUUAUAGCCGUGUCAUCGACGCGUGAAACGGUGGGGAGGGUACACGGAGCCGAGCCCACUGAAGAGCCUCGCACCGGCAGUGGUGGCGGUGGUGUUAUCGCUGUCGAUAUUAAUGUUUGUCGCCGCCGACAGUGAAAUUAAUGAUCAAACGCCUAUUGUCGGGUCAGGUGUGUGUGUGUGUGUGUACUUUUCGAAGCGUUACGCCGGUUCAACUCGUCGAAAUUUUGCAUUUGCUCGUCACCCCAAUUCUCACAUCCUCGUUGUCUACCCAAUAAAAAAUGUGUGUAGGUGUGUAUUAUUUUUUACACAAUUAUCGAUUUAGUCUUUUCUAGGAAACCCUACAAAUACGUACGCGCCACGGCUGUUCGUAAAACGGAACGUUCGGGUGAACGCGCGCGCCUCUUCUCCGACGUUUUCGCCGUGUGCCAUAAAUGCGAAAAGCGAUAGCCGCUCAUUCAUGCAAAUGCUUUUUACCGUCACGGAUAUACCGUCGCGUGGCAUGAAGUAGCUACACAGUGGUGCGAGGGGAACAUGACCGAUCCCGGGGGAUAGACGUGAUGACGCCGCCGGGUACGCCGCCCAAACUAAGGACUUCAGAAAAUCAAGACAACGAUGAUGUGACUGUAGUAGAUAUAGAAGAUGACACAACUUUUACCCCUCGAAAAAACGAUGGAAAAAAGCAUGUACAUUUUUCAGAGGAAACCAUCACGGUGAUGAUUCCUAGUCCACCGAAAGGGUUUUGUGAUUCUGUGAAAAAACUAUUGGACUUUGUUUGUUGUUGCGGAUGUCUGUUUCCAAACUACUUAUAAGUCCUUAAUGUGAUAUUUCUCCUCUUUCAUUCAUUAGAAUAUUUUUAAGAUCUGUGUGAAAUAUACCUGUUUACUCGUGUGCUCUAAAAUUAUUAUUUGUUUGUAUAUAUUAUAAAAAAUGUUAUAUGCUAAUAUAGAUUAUGUAUAUUUAACGAA